UACAUGGGGUGCAACCGUUGCUCGGAAUUAUUGGGCGUAAAGCGCACGUAGGCGGUCCGUUAAGUCAGAUGUGAAAGCCCCCGGCUCAACCGGGGAAGUGCAUCUGAAACUGGCGGGCUAGAGUACGAAAGAGGGUCGCGGAAUUCCCGGUGUAGAGGUGAAAUUCGUAGAUAUCGGGAGGAACACCGGUGGCGAAGGCGGCGACCUGGGUCGAUACUGACGCUGAGGUGCGAAAGCGUGGGGAGCAAACAGG
rnacentral:rRNA from 1 species